AUUGAACGCUGGCGGCAGGCUUAACACAUGCAAGUCGAGCGGACAGACGAGGAGCUUGCUCCUCUGACGUUAGCGGCGGACGGGUGAGUAACACGUGGAUAACCUACCUAUAAGACUGGGAUAACUUCGGGAAACCGGAGCUAAUACCGGAUAAUAUAUUGAACCGCAUGGUUCAAUAGUGAAAGACGGUUUUGCUGUCACUUAUAGAUGGAUCCGCGCCGCAUUAGCUAGUUGGUAAGGUAACGGCUUACCAAGGCAACGAUGCGUAGCCGACCUGUGAGGGUGAUCGGCCACACUGGAACUGAGACACGGUCCAGACUCCUACGGGAGGCAGCAGUAGGGAAUCUUCCGCAGUGGGCGAAAGCCUGACGGAGCGACGCCGCGUGAGUGAUGAAGGUCUUCGGAUCCUAAAACUCUGUUAUUAGGGAAGAACAAAUGUGUAAGUAACUAUGCACGUCUUGACGGUACCUAAUCAGAAAGCCACGGCUAACUACGUGCCAGCCGCCGCAGUAACAC
rnacentral:rRNA from 1 species